GACGAACGCUGGCGGCGUGCCUAACACAUGCAAGUCGAACGGGGUUAAGUCUUCGGAUUUAACUUAGUGGCGAACGGGUGAGUAACGCGUGAGAAACCUGCCUUUCAGUGGGGGACAACAGUUGGAAACGACCGCUAAUACCGCAUAAUGUUAUUUGGGGGCAUCCUCGAAUAACCAAAGAUUUAUUGCUGAAAGAUGGCUUCGCGUCUGAUUAGCUAGAUGGCGGGGUAACGCCCACCAUGGCGACGAUCAGUAGCCGGUCUGAGAGGAUGAACGGCCACAUUGGGACUGAGAUACGGCCCAG
rnacentral:rRNA from 1 species